AAACAUACAUAAUGCUCAAUAAGUGGUUAUUAAAGGUAUGUAUAUAUAUCUCAGUGGUGUGCGGUGGUGUUCUGAAAUGGAGGCAAAAUCCAAAAAAAAGUUUAUUUUUUUAUUUUUUUAAGGUGCCAUAGAAUGCAAAAAAUCCCUUUUAUAAGGUGUUUGAACACACUUGUUUGGCUGCAGUUUGUGAAAACAACCAGCCUAUAAUGGUAAAAAUCCACCCACUCAUUGUUUUAUAAUCCAAAUAAAUCAUAAACAGUCUCCACACGAGCAGUUCCAGAUUUCUCACUACUAUGAUGUCAUACUCGGGGAAAGUCCUGCCCAUUUGUGACUCUCCCUGCCCUAUUAGCAUAUACACAGCCCUGCGUGAGAAGCUGUGGUCCGCCAUUAUGGUUUUCUUGUUGUAGCUGCUGGAGAUACAAAGUCAGCGCCAAAGAGCCAUUAAAAGUGUGGUGUGUUGGGAUGCUCCAAAGAACAUAGGUGUCUCCACAGAUCACUGAGGAUACGGUGGUUAAAUUUCAUUUUCAAAGGAAAUACCCCGGAAAAAAAGCGGAAAGGUCCUAUACGUUUGUGCUAACAUUUUACGCUGGACUGCCUCACAAGGAGUUGUGCAAAGAUUGCUUCUGAAAGAGCGAUCGAUACCAACACUUCGUGUGCAAACAUCCAGACUCCAGACAAAGCAUUAUUUUACCUUGAUGUACAGUACACCUGCUCCAGCGUCAAAACAAUGGUGGACUGAUGACAGCUCACUCAGGGCGGAUCUAAGGUUUUUGGUGAAUGAUGGCUGUAGGGUCAAUGAGAAAUCAGCGGAGAGCCCUAAAUGUUUAUCCAGGCUGCUGACUGGUGCAAAUAGUCUUCUGGAGCACCAUCAGGUUUCAGGCCAGCUACCCUGCAUGGCUGCACUGCCACUAUAAAUCCACAAGCUGAUUAAACAGUAAAUUUAGCAUGCCUAUCAACUUACCAUUAACCAGG
ensembl:lncRNA